rnacentral:rRNA from 1 species
UACGGAGGAUGCGAGCGUUAUCCGGAUUUAUUGGGUUUAAAGGGUGCGUAGGCGGGCUUUUAAGUCAGCGGUAAAAAUUCGGGGCUCAACCCCGUCCGGCCGUUGAAACUGGGGGCCUUGAGUGGGCGAGAAGAAGGCGGAAUGCGUGGUGUAGCGGUGAAACGCAUAGAUAUCACGCAGAACCCCGAUUGCGAAGGCAGCCUUCCGGCGCCCUACUGACGCUGAGGCACGAGAGCGUGGGUAUCGAACAGG